rnacentral:rRNA from 1 species
GAAACUGCGAAUGGCUCAUUAAAUCAGUUAUAAUUUAUUUGAUAUUCACUUACUACUUGGAUAACCGUGGUAAUUCUAGAGCUAAUACAUGCGUACAUAACCUCGACUUCUGGAAGAGGUGCACUUAUUAGAUAAAAAGCCAACGCGGGCAACCGCUUGUAUGGUGAUUCAUAAUAAUUAAGCGAAUCGCAUGGCCUUGUGCCGGCGAUGAUGCAUUCAAAUUUCUGCCCUAUCAAGUUUCGAUGGUAGGUUAGUGGCCUACCAUGCUUUUAACGGGUAACGGGGAAUUAGGGUUCGAUUCCGGAGAGGGAGCCUGAGAAACGGCUACCACAUCCAAGGAAGGCAGCAGGCGCGCAAAUUACCCAAUCCCGACACGGGGAGGUAGUGACAAUAAAUAACAAUACAGGGCCUUUACGGGUCUUGUAAUUGGAAUGAGUACAAUUUAAAUCCCUUAACGAGGAACAAUUGGAGGGCAAGUCUGGUGCCAGCAGCCGCGGUAAUUCCAGCUCCAAUAGCGUAUAUUAAAGUUGUUGCAGUUAAAAAGCUCGUAGUUGAAUUUUGGCCUUGGGUGGUUUGGUUUGGCCUUCACUGGUCAAUGCCUUUUCCGCCUAGGUCUUACCUUCUGGGUUAGCUAGUGUUGCUUCGGUGGCGCUAGUGAACCAGAAC